rnacentral:tRNA from 1 species
GUAUAUAUAGUAUAAUAAAUACGUCAGGUUUAGGACCUGGAGAUGCGUGUAUACU